GAUGAAUGCUGGCGGCGUGCCUAACACAUGCAAGUCGAGCGGUAACAGAUCUAGCUUGCUAGAUGCUGACGAGCGGCGGACGGCUGAGUAACGCGUGGGAACAUACCCCAAAGUGAGGGAUAACCGCCCGAAAGGGUGGCUAAUACCGCAUAUGGUCUUCGGAUUAAAGGAUUUAUCCGCUUUGGGAAUGGCCUGCGUACGAUUAGAUAGUUGGUGAGGUAAUGGCUUACCAAGUCUACGAUCGUUAACUGGUUUAAGAGGAUGAUCAGUCAGACUGGAACUGAGACACGGUCCAGACUCCUACGGGAGGCAGCAGUGAGGAAUCUUCCACAAUGGGCGAAAGCCUGAUGGAGCAACGCCGCGUGCAGGAUGAAGGCCUUCGGGUUGUAAACUGCUUUUAUAAGUGAAGAAUAUGACGGUAACUUAUGAAUAAGCUCCGGCUAACUACGUGCCAGCAGCCGCCGUA
rnacentral:rRNA from 1 species